rnacentral:rRNA from 1 species
GAAAAAGAGUACAGUGGCGCACGGGUGAGUAACGCGUAGAUAAUCUACCCUGGUGUUCGGGAUAACAUCGCGAAAGCGGUGCUAAUACCGGAUACGCUCCUUCGGGAGGAAAGAUGGGGACCCUUCGGGGCCUAUCGCAUUGGGAUGAGUCUGCGUACCAUUAGCUAGUUGGUGGGGUAAGAGCCUACCAAGGCGACGAUGGUUAGCGGGUCUGAGAGGAUGAUCCGCCACACUGGAACUGGAACACGGACCAGACUCCUACGGGAGGCAGCAGUGAGGAAUUUUGCGCAAUGGGGGAAACCCUGACGCAGCGACGCCGCGUGGGUGAUGAAGGCUUUCGAGUCGUAAAGCCCUGUCAAGUGGGAAGAAGUGUGUAUGAGCUAAUAUCUCAUGCAUUUGACGGUACCACUAAAGGAAGCACCGGCUAACUCCGUGCCAGCAGCCGCGGUAAUACGGAGGGUGCAAGCGUUGUUCGGAAUUACUGGGCGUAAAGGGCGCGUAGGCGGCGUAACAAGUCAGGUGUGAAAGUCCGGGGCUCAACUCCGGAAGUGCAUCUGAAACUGUUAUGCUUGAGUAUCGGAGAGGAAAGUGGAAUUCCCGGUGUAGAGGUGAAAUUCGUAGAUAUCGGGAGGAACACCUGAGGCGAAGGCGACUUUC